rnacentral:rRNA from 1 species
GACGAACGCUGGCGGCGUGCUUAACACAUGCAAGUCGUACGGUAAGGCCCUUUCGGGGGUACACGAGUGGCGAACGGGUGAGUAACACGUGAGUAACCUGCCCACAACUUUGGGAUAACGCUAGGAAACUGGUGCUAAUACUGGAUAUGUGCUCCUGCUGCAUGGUGGGGGUUGGAAAGCUCCGGCGGUUGUGGAUGGACUCGCGGCCUAUCAGCUUGUUGGUGGGGUAGUGGCCUACCAAGGCGGCGACGGGUAGCCGGCCUGAGAGGGUGACCGGCCACAUUGGGACUGAGAUACGGCCCAGACUCCUACGGGAGGCAGCAGUGGGGAAUAUUGCACAAUGGGCGCAAGCCUGAUGCAGCAACGCCGCGUGCGGGAGGACGGCCUUCGGGUUGGAAACCGCUUUCAGCAGGGACGAAGCUUUUUGUGACGGUACCUGCAGAAGAAGCACCGGCUAACUACGUA